GAUGAACGCUGGCGGCGUGCCCAAUACAUGCAAGUCGAGCGAACAGACGAGGAGCUUGCUCCUCUGAUGUUAGCGGCGGACGGGUGAGUAACACGUGGAUAACCUACCUAUAAGACUGGGAUAACUUCGGGAAACCGGAGCUAAUACCGGAUAACAUGUUGAACCGCAUGGUUCAACAGUGAAAGACGGUCUUGCUGUCACUUAUAGAUGGAUCCGCGCCGCAUUAGCUAGUUGGUAAGGUAACGGCUUACCAAGGCAACGAUGCGUAGCCGACCUGAGAGGGUGAUCGGCCACACUGGAACUGAGACACGGUCCAGACUCCUACGGGAGGCAGCAGUAGGGAAUCUUCCGCAAUGGGCGAAAGCCUGACGGAGCAACGCCGCGUGAGUGAAGAAGGUCUUCGGAUCGUAAAACUCUGUUAUUAGGGAAGAACAAAUGUGUAAGUAACUAUGCACGUCUUGACGGUACCUAAUCAGAAAGCCACGGCUAACUACGUG
rnacentral:rRNA from 1 species